GACGAACGCUGGCGGCGUGCUUAACACAUGCAAGUCGAACGGACAGGCCCUGCUUUUGCGGGGUGCUCGAGUGGCGAACGGGUGAGUAACACGUGAGUAACCCGCCCUUGACUUUGGGAUAACUUCAGGAAACUGGGGCUAAUACCGGAUAGGAGCUCCUGCUGCAUGGUGGGGGCUGGAAAGUUUCGGCGGUUGGGGAUGGGCUCGCGCCAUAUCAGCUUGCUUGGGGGGUAGUGGCUUACCAAGGCUUGGACAGGUAGCCGGCCUGGGAGGAUGACCUGCCACGUUUGGCCGGGGAUGCGACCCAGACUAGAACGGGAGGCAGCGGUGGAGAGUGUUACACAAUAGGCGGGAGCCAAAUGCGACAACGCCACGUGCGGGAUGACAGCCUUCGGGUAGUGAACCGCUUUCGCCUUUGACGAGACGUGAGUGACGGUAAUGGGUGAAUAAGCACCGGCUAACUACGUG
rnacentral:rRNA from 1 species